AUGAGACAAUAUUGGUGGGGUGUGGAGAAUGGUAGAAAUAAGAUGGCAUGGGUGGCUUGGGAUAAGUUAAUCUUGCCAAAGUCUAAAUGGGGCAUUGGCUUUCGGGAUAUGAGAGCUUAUAACCAAGCUUUGCUAGCCAAGCAAGCUUGGAGGCUUUUAACAGCCCCGGAGUCACUUUCUGCGAGGCUCCUUCAAGCUAAAUAUUUUCCGAACGGGAACCUAGUGGAUAUAGUAUUCCCAAAUAAUGGUUCGGCGAUAUGGAUAGAAUUGAACAUGGUCUGGAUUUAUUAA
rnacentral:rRNA from 1 species